rnacentral:rRNA from 1 species
UAAGCGAAUAGUGAAUCUGGUGGCUCAACCAUACAGGCUAUUAUUCGAACUGGCUAACUCGAGAAUGGUAGAGGUAACUGGAAUUUCUCGUGUAGGAGUGAAAUCCGUAGAUAUAAGAAGGAACACCAAUGGCGUAGGCAGGUUACUGGACCAUUUCUGACGCUAAGGCACGAAAGCGUGGGGAGCGAACCGGAUUAGAUACCCGGGUAGUCCACGCCCUAAACGAUGUCUACUG